rnacentral:lncRNA from 10 species
CCGAAGGGGUAAAGCAACAGGGACUCCCCACACCUCUUCCCCGCUCCCAGCCCUGCUCACUGCACCUCCCUCCCGCGCUCCUAUCCUGGGAGAAUCUGUGCCGCAACCCCUCUCCAUCUGUUCUCCGUGGACUCGGUGCCCGAGGUUCAACCAACAGCACCCCCCCACACACACACACAUCUCUGGUUCCCCCAAGUUCCCAGGGCAGAGGAGUGGGGAGAGGAAAUUGAUUCUUGGAACCCUAGGGAAGAUCCUUACUCCCAGUUUCGUGGUGAAGGGUUAAGGCAGAAGCUAGACUUCCAGAGGAAUGGAAUAGGGGGAAAGGGAAGAGAUUGAAGCUAGAUGUGGGAAAGGACUAACAGAGGGCAGAGGGGAGGGCAUUGGAACCGGCCUUCACUGAACCAUCUUUCUUCCCUAAAAGAACAGCUCCAGAGAAGCAGUGAAGUGUGUGCAAUACCCUAGGCUGGAGGGCAGGAAACCUGAGUUCUAAUUCUGAAUUCUGUAUCUGUCAUUAAGGAGUUAUGUGACCUUGGGCAAGUGCCUUCCUGUCUCUGAGCCUUAAUUUCUUCAUCUGUGCAGUGAGGAAGUUGACUGGACAAUUUCUAAGGCUCUGACUUGUAGGUGUAGGAAGCAAGCCAGGCUGAGCCACUGCAGGCAGCCUAUCCUUUCAGGCCAUCCACCCCACACUGCUUUUCCCUGUAUCCCCUGGCACAGCAGGAAGGACCCUGACAUUUAUUCAUUCAUUCAUUUCUGGAUGUCUCCAUUCAGUAAACAGGUGUUGGGUACCUAUUGUGUGCCCAGUACAGAAAUGAAACACAGUUUCCUUCCUGCAAGGAGCACAAAGUCUAAUGGGGAGAAAAGAACAUGAAAAACAACCAUUAUGAAGAAUAUAAUAAAAGCCAUGCAUGAUCAAUCUUGUGCAUACACAGUCACUGUGGAAUCCUACUAUGUGUCAUUAGAGUCUUUGACAUACAGUAACUGUUCUCCCCAAUUACUCACAGGGAACCAAGGCAGAG